UAAUGUAAGAGUAAGAUCUUUAGACCCUAAAAUAACCUUUUUUUCCCUCUCUCUUACUAAUAACCAAAUUAGGAAUUGACAAGAACUAGUAACCUCUUUGAAAUUAUGUCAAAGUCUUAUGGAACUAUUUCUAUCAAACCACCCAAAUCGGAAACUACUCAAAUUUUGAUAACCAGUCACAAGCUAAACGGAAGCAACUAUAUCCAAUAGUCUCUAUCAAUCAAGACGUUUAU
rnacentral:lncRNA from 1 species